CAGCAGCCGCGGGAAUACGGAGGGAGCUAGCGUUAUUCGGAAUUACUGGGCGUAAAGCGCACGUAGGCGGCUUUGUAAGUUAGAGGUGAAAGCCUGGUGCUCAACACCAGAACUGCCUUUGAUACUGCAUCGCUUGAAUCCAGGAGAGGUGAGUGGAAUUCCGAGUGUAGAGGUGAAAUUCGUAGAUAUUCGGAAGAACACCAGUGGCGAAGGCGGCUCACUGGACUGGUAUUGACGCUGAGGUGCGAAAGCGUGGGGAGCAAACAGGAUUAGAUACCCGGGUAGUCCCUGUCUCUUAUAC
rnacentral:rRNA from 1 species